rnacentral:pre_miRNA from 1 species
UGUCUCCCAGCCUGAGGUGCAGUGCUGCAUCUCUGGUCAGCUGGGAGUCUGAGAUGAAGCACUGUAGCUCUGGAAGGGAGAAGU